CUUCUUCCUGAUCCCCAGCAUCAUCUUUGCCGUCAAGACCUCCAAAUACUUCCGUCCUAUCCGGAAACGCCUCAGCUCCACCAGCUCUGAGGAGACUCAGCUCUUCCACAUCCCCCGGGUUACCUCCCUGAAGCUGUAGGGCCCUGUGGGGUGAGGUGACCCUGAGGCUGCCUGUCCUCCCCUUUGAUUUAGCCUGGGCCACAGGACUUCGGUAGCUCUUGCCCCAGAGCCCAGGCUGGCAUCCAGGCCUGGACUGUCCCCAGUUCCGGCUUACCUGGCCCCACCUUGCCUGCUCCUUUCCACCCCUUUCUGCUCACGACCCCCAUCAUUCACUCUCAGAAUCACAUGGGACUUCUGUGCAGCUGCAGAGCCAGCAAGUCCCUCCAGGUGUCACCCCUUACCCCCAUGCUGGUGGCAUCCUCACAGGAAGAGCCUGUUCUCCACCUGCUGGAGCCUGGACCCUGGGGUGGGACAGAGGCCUCGUCCAACCCCACUCCCCUUCCCGUGUGUCUUCCCCCUGCCAAGCCUCCCCCUGCCCCUCUCUGAGCCCCUCGCCCCC
rnacentral:sRNA from 1 species